rnacentral:rRNA from 1 species
CGCCUCUUGACCAAUUAUAAGAGGUCCAGCCUGCCCAGUGACUCUGUUCAACGGCCGCGGUAUCCUAACCGUGCGAAGGUAGCGUAAUCACUUGUUCUUUAAAUGAGGACUAGUAUGAAUGGCACCACGAAGGUUAUACUGUCUCCUUUCUUUAAUCAGUGAAACUAAUCUCCCCGUGAAGAAGCGGGGAUAAAUAUAUAAGACGAGAAGACCCUAUGGAGCUUUAAACAAGUAACAACUGCCUUAUUAAUCUCUUAAUCUCAGGAAAUUUAUCCCUUAUUUAGGCAUUUUGAUUACAAGUUUUAGGUUGGGGUGACCGCGGAGCAUAAAAUAACCUCCACAGUGAACGGGACUCAUUCCCUAAACCAAGGGCUACAACCCUAAGCAUCAAUAAAUUGACACCUAUUGACCCAAUAUUUUGAUCAAUGAACCAAGUUACCCUAGGGAUAACAGCGCAAUCCACUUCAAGAGCCCCUAUCGACAAGUGGGUUUACGACCUCGAUGUUGGAUCAGGGUAUCCCAGUGGUGCAGCCGCUACUAAAGGUUCGUUUGUUCAACGAUUAAAACCCUA